AUUGAACGCUGGCGGCAGGCUUAACACAUGCAAGUCGAACGAGUGGCGGACGGGUGCGUAAUGCUUGGGAAUCUAGCUUAUGGAGGGGGAUAACUACGGGGAACUGUAGAUAAUACCGCGUACCCUAGUAUGAGCCCAAGUGGGAUUAGGUAGUUGGUGAGGUAAAGGCUCACAACGCCGACGAUCGCUAGCUGGUCUGAGAGGAUAACCAGCCACACUGGGAAGGAUACACGGCCCAGACGCCUCCGGCAGGACGAGGUGGGAAAGAUUGCGCAAGGGGGGAAACCUGACGCAGCCAUGCCGCUUGAAUGAAGAGGGCCUUCGGGUUGUAAAGUUCUUUCGGUAGCGAGGCGUUAACUACAGAAGAAGCACCGGCUAACUCCGUGCCAGCAGCCGCGGUAAUAC
rnacentral:rRNA from 1 species